CAGUCAUCUACUCAGGGCUACAAGAAAUCAAAACGAGCUAAAAAAGCUUUAGUUGUUGCUGCAACAAGAGAAGGAAAUGAAGGCAUAAGAAUAUCAGAGAGAGGUUCUAAUUCUGUACAACAUGAUGCAGAAGUCUUACCAAAUAGCAUCAGUACUAUUGAAAAAGGAAAGAAAGGAAGGGGUCGAGCAAAGUUGAACUAUCUCAACAACGGAAAAUGAGCAAAGUUAACUGUAAAAUUUAAUGAAAGAAGGUAACCAAUUUGUAAAGGAUCAAAUAAAUUAUCGUCGUUCCUUGAAACGACAGCUAGGGAACUUGUACCUAUUAUAAAGAAAGGUUGGUAAGAUUUCAACGAAAGUUUUCUUGAUGACAUACGGGUGCUUGUGUAGGUGAUGUAAACUUGACAUCACAUAUAGUGUAAAUUAAAUUACUAUUAAUCUUGUAUCUUUUGAUGCAGCAAAGGUUUGAUAUUCACAUUUCUCAUAGAAAGUACAUUAUGCAAAAAUUGGGAAAGAGUUGGAGAGAUCAUUGAUCUAAUGUGCUAAAAACAAUCAGUAACAAAGAAAGAACAAUUGGCAUGACACGAGCUGCUGCUCUUCUCAAGCCAAAUAAUGUUGACUCAAUGGAAGAAUGACAAGCAUUUGUCAAAGAACACUAUUCUCAACCAUAUAAGGUAUGUUCCAUUGCUCUUAUUUACUGAAUGUGCAUGAUAUAAGUUACUAUGGGCAAACCAGAUGAAUAUCCUUUUAUAUUUGUG
rnacentral:lncRNA from 1 species